rnacentral:rRNA from 1 species
GAGAGGAUGCGAAAAAGUUGAACCGUGCCCUGCAGAUGUAGCGCCGGCCUAAACUAUCCGUGUCAAGCAGCCGGCGGUAAAUACCGUAGGAGCGCAAAGCGUCAUCCGGACUUAUUUGGGCGUUAAAAGAAGCUUCGUAAGGCGGAUUUGUCCGCGUCUGCCGUGAAAAGUUCUCGAGGCUCAACCUCCGGAUUCUGCGGUGGGUACGGGCAGACUAGAGUGAUGUAGGGGAGACUUGGAAUUCCUGGUGUAGCGGUGAAAUGCGCAGAUAUCAGGAGGAAACACCCGAUGGCGAAGGCAGGUCUCUGGGCAUUUACUGACGCUGAGGAGCGAAAGCAUGGGGAGCGAACAGGAUUAGAUACCCUGGUAGUCCAUGCCGUAAACGUUGGGCACUAGGUGUGGGGGACAUUCCACGUUUUCCGCGCCGUAGCUAACGCAUUAAGUGCCCCGCCUGGGGAGUACGGCCGCAAGGCUAAAACUCAAAGGAAUUGACGGGGGCCCGCACAAGCGGCGGAGCAUGCGGAUUAAUUCGAUGCAACGCGAAGAACCUUACCAAGGCUUGACAUGUGCCAGACCGCUUCAGAGAUGGAGUUUCCCUUCGGGGCUGGUUCACAGGUGGUGCAUGGUUGUCGUCAGCUCGUGUCGUGAGAUGUUGGGUUAAGUCCCGCAACGAGCGCAACCCUCGUUCCAUGUUGCCAGCACGUAGUGGUGGGGACUCAUGGGAGACUGCCGGGGUCAACUCGGAGGAAGGUGGGGAUGACGUCAAAUCAUCAUGCCCCUUAUGUCUUGGGCUUCACGCAUGCUACAAUGGCCGGUACAAUGGGUUGCGAUACUGUGAGGUGGAGCUAAUCCCUAAAAGCCGGUCUCAGUUCGGAUUGGGGUCUGCAACUCGACCCCAUGAAGUCGGAGUCGCUAGUAAUCGCAGAUCAGCAACGCUGCGGUGAAUACGUUCCCGGGCCUUGUACACACCGCCCGUCAAGUCACGAAAGUUGGUAACACCCGAAGCCGAUGGCCCUAACCACCUUGUGUGGGGGGGAGUCUUCGGAAAGGUUGAAGGG